rnacentral:rRNA from 1 species
AGCAUGGUCUUAGCUUGCUAAGGCCGAUGGCGACCGGCGCACGGGUGAGUAACACGUAUCCAACCUGCCGUCUACUCUUGGACAGCCUUCUGAAAGGAAGAUCAAUACAAGAUGGCAUCAUGAGUCCGCAUGUUCACAUGAUUAAAGGUAUUCCGGUAGACGAUGGGGAUGCGUUCCAUUAGAUAGUAGGCGGGGUAACGGCCCACCUAGUCUUCGAUGGAUAGGGGUUCUGAGAGGAAGGUCCCCCACAUUGGAACUGAGACACGGUCCAAACUCCUACGGGAGGCAGCAGUGAGGAAUAUUGGUCAAUGGGCGAGAGCCUGAACCAGCCAAGUAGCGUGAAGGAUGACUGCCCUAUGGGUUGUAAACUUCUUUUAUAAAGGAAUAAAGUCGGGUAUGGAUACCCGUUUGCAUGUACUUUAUGAAUAAGGAUCGGCUAACUCCGUGCCAGCAGCCGCGGUAAUACGGAGGAUCCGAGCGUUAUCCG